rnacentral:snRNA from 1 species
AUCGCUUCUCGGCCUUUUGGCUAAGAUCAAGUGUAGUAUCUGUUCUUAUCAGUUUAUAUCUGAUACGUCCCCUAUCUGGGGACCAUAUAUUAAAUGGAUUUUUGGAACAGGGAGAUGGAAGAAGAGCUUGCUCUGUCCACUCCACGCAUCGACCUGGUAUUGCAGUACCUCCAGGACCGGUGCACCUCUC